GAUGAACGCUGGCGGCGUGCCUAAUACAUGCAAGUCGAGCGAAGCGGGGACGGGUGAGUAACACGUGGAUAACCUCCUAUAAGACUGGGAUAACUUCGGGAAACCGGAACUACACCGGAUACUUAUAUAUAGAUCCUGGCUGCAUUAGCUAGUUGGUAAGGUAACGUCUUACCAAGGCAACGAUGCAUAGCCGACCUUCGAGGGUGAUCGGCCACCAUGGAACUGAGCCACGGUCCAGACUCCGACGGUAGGCAGCAGUAGGGAAUCUUCCGCAAUGGGCGAAAGCCUGACGGAGCAACGCCGCGUGAGUGAUGAAGGUCUUCGGAUCGUAAAACUCUGUUAUUAGGGAAGCGGUACCUAAUCAGAAAGCCACGGCUAACUACGUGCCAGCAGCCGCGGUAAUUC
rnacentral:rRNA from 1 species